rnacentral:lncRNA from 1 species
AUCCGAUUCCAGAAAAUUUGGAGGCAAAUGGAGACACCUGGUGCUCUGCCCAGAACCCUGACAUGGGAACCCAUGGAGUAGAUCCAGUAUUUACACAAGGAAUUUGCAGAGUCCUGGUCAGUUCCCAGGUUGGCUGAAGGUUUUGAUGUCAGCACUGAUGUGAUCUCAAGAGUUUUAAAAAGCAAGUUUGUACCCACAUUGGAGCUGAAACUGAAGCAGGAUCAAAAAGUCCUUAAGAAAACUGGGGUUGCCCACUUGCUCCAGUAGCUCCAGGGCUCUGGAAAUACCUCAAAGCUACUCCCUGCAGGCCACUCUGUCUCAGGCUCUUUGCUUAUGACAGGGCAUGAAGCCUCAUCCAAAGACCCGAAUCACACCAUAGCUUUGAAAGUGAUAGUCAAACACUCACAGGACAAAUGUACGAAGGAGAUGGAAGGGAAGGAAUAAAGGAAGCCAGAAUCUGAAGAAGGAGAGCUAUGUGCCUCUUGCUGCAGUCCUAGGUCAUCAGAGAGAGCUGCACAAGUACUCCAGUGCUUCUGAGAGCACCAGAAGAACUGACGAUGGUAGGCUGCCAAGUGAUCAGAAGCUGGAGAAGUUGAAGGCAGGGGAGCCGGGUCGCUUCAGCAGCAAAGUAGUGCAGAGGAGGCGAGAGUUCUUUGACAGCAACAGGAACUUCCUGUACAGAAUUU